rnacentral:rRNA from 1 species
GAUGAACGCUAGCUACAGGCUUAACACAUGCAAGUCGAGGGACCGGGUCACGGGCGAGUAACAAGUAUCCAACCUGCCCUCUACUCGGGGAGAGCCAUUCGAAAGAAAGGAUAAUACCUGAUAAAUACAUUGGGGAUGCGUUCUAUUAGGUUGUUGGUGCGGUUCCGGCCCACCAAGCCUUCGAUGGGUGGGGGUUCGGAGAGGAAGGACCCCGACAUUGGAACAGAGACACGGUCCAAACGCCAAGAGGAGGCAGCAGAGAGGAAUAUAUGGCAAUGGGCGGUAGCCUGAACCAGCCAAGUAGCGUGAAGGAUGAAGGGUUGUGAAUCGUAAACUUCUUUUAUAUAAGAAUCUGUAUUUUAUGAAUAAGGAUCGGCUAACUACGUGCCAGCCGCCGCGGUAAUAC